rnacentral:lncRNA from 1 species
AAUGCUCAUAAAAUAUGCUUGAACAGUUGGAAAUUUGUAUCCCUAUAAAAACCAAGCUCCCCAUCUCCAUUAAAACCAGAACAAGCAGCCAUCAAAAUCUUUUGAUCGAUCGACCGCUGCUUUGGAGCUUCCAUUGAUCCGAUUCCUAGCACAUCAUCAUCAUGACGAGUGGAAUUGGAUGUGUGCAGUGUGGCACACGUAGCAACCCAUGUAGGUGCAAGGUGGUGGGGCCUACCUUAGGGUGUUUAUGCUUUCUUGGAGCUGCCAUUAUUGAAUGGCCUGUUGGGGCUUUUGUUUACUUGUUCAAGCACGUCAAGGGGAGAAGAAUCAUGGCUCAUCCGGCCACUGUUGUUUAUCCGAAGGUCUCUAAUGCCAUUCCAAUUUGAUGCAAAAAUUAAUCCAAAUUUUUUUUGGUUAAUUGGUUGCUUUUGCUUAAUCUUAGUUUGUAUGUGUAAGCUUUGUCUAUGUCUGCAGUUUUAAUCUGCUUAUCAUUAAUAACAACACAGUUGAUUUCCUAAUCUGUAUUGAAACUCAUCAUUUUGUUCUAAAUUCUAGCUCUCUAUCUGUUAUCUGUUUUCCAUCAUUGAUUACCAGCAAUAUAACAAUGUAUAAUAGUUAGUGUUUCGUUUUUUUUAAUACAAGCAAAAAUUAAUUUAAUUUUUCA